GACGAACGCUGGCGGCGUGCCUAACACAUGCAAGUCGAACGGAAAGGCCCUGCUUUUGUGCGGUUCUCGAUUGGCGAACGCGGGAGUGACACGUGAGUAACCUGCCCUUGUCUUUCGGAUAACUUCAGGAAACUGGGGCUAAUACAGGAUAGGAGAUCCUGCUGCAUGGUGGGGGUUGGAAAGUUUCGGCUGUUGGGGAUGGACUCGCGGCUUAUGAGCUUGUUGGUUGGGUAGGUGCUUACCAAGCCUUUGACGGGUAGCCGGCCUGGGAGGGUGGCCGGCGACAAGGCGCCUGCGGGACGCACCAGACGGGAACGUGAGGCAGAAGUGGGGAGCCUGGCACAGCGGGCCGGCGCGUGUGGCGAAGACCCUCGGUUCGUGAAGCCCGGCUGUUGGUGAUAAACCGCUGUAGCCUGUGACGAAGCGGUAGUGACGGUAACGAGUGAAGAAGCACCGGCUAACUACGUG
rnacentral:rRNA from 1 species